UGUAGGUACAAGGGGGGCCCCAGCUUGGGGGACCUGCAGGUGGCUAACUGAGAGAACAGAGCAGCAGGCAGGACCGAUGAGAGAAUGAGCAAGUCUCAAGAUCUAAGAAGUGGGGUGAAAGGUUCAGAAACCAGGGAAAUCACCCUCUGUAUUACCAGAGACAGACCAGCGCUUGGGAUGUAAGUUCUCUUUAUGUACACCUGGGGCUGAAGGAAGAGGGGACCACAUAUCUAUGGUAGGCAGAAUGGCCUACAGGGACUGCCUCAUUUGCUCUUCAGUGAACCUGAGGAAUCACUAAUCUUGCUGCCAUUUUACAGAUGUGGAGACUGAGGCUCAGAGGCUUAAAGUUCCUUACCUGAGGUAUGAUGGCAAGCGAGUGAGUGUCAAAAUCUGAACUCAGCUCUGUGCGACUCAGGAACCCCCCCAGUUCUUCCCAGGAAGCCUUUCAGUGAGGUGACUGUGAGGAUGGAGAGAAAAGAGGCCAAAGAAGAGCCUGGUGCCAGGCCUGCACACAGUCGAUGCCCAGGGGACAGUGUGGGGCAGGCCUCUUACAGAGCUCGCUGCUUCCUGGACUUGCUCCCAGAAGCCCACACACACCCUGGACCUGAGCCAGUCAAGUGUCAGCUCAUCCACCGCCUGGCAAGCAGCUGCCCUGUCCUCCAUCCACCAAACAAGCCCAAGGCCCUGCCUACCUCGGCCACUCCUCCUGCCCACCUCUGCACAUGCUCCCUUCCCAAGCCCAGCCAGCUCCACCAGGGGCCUCCCUGCCUGCCCCAUUCCUGCUCAGAUCUGCCCUGGCCUCCUUGCAGCUCCCCCUGCUGUGCUCAGUUUCUCUAAAUCUGAUUAUCUUUCUGUCUGCUUAAAAACCUUCCAUGGCUCUGCACUGCCUUCCAAAGUAAAGGACCAUCCGAGUGGCUCCGUGUCCUCACAGUGCCACUCAGAAACGUGCCAGAUGAAAAAACAAGCUUGGAACCAGGCAUGGUGGUGCAUGCCUGUAAUCCCAUCACUUGGGAGGCUGAGGCAUGAGAAUCAUCAUGAGUUCAAGGCCAGUCUGGGCUACCUAAGAGUUCAAGGUCAAGCUGCACUAUAUAGCAAGUCCUUGUCUAAAAAGAAGAAGAAGAAGAAGAGGAGGAGAAAGAAGAAGGGGAGGAGGAGGAAGAAGAAGAAGGAGAAGAGAGACAGAGAGAGAAGAGAGAGAGAGAGAGAGAAAAGAAAGCCUCAGAGAGAUGGAGUGAUUUGCCUGUAGACACACAGUAAGGAAUGAGUUGCAUUCAGGUUUGAGCCCAGGACUGUUUGGCCCCCGCCCUCAUCACCAAGCCCCACAAUGUCAAACCCAGGAGCACUCACGUUGGGACCUGCCUCACAGUUGGUGUGUCAGCAGUCGGGGACCAGUGCUGAGGCCUCCAGGAUAGAACACCAGAGUCCCCCUCUCACCUCCAGCCGCUCCCAAGCUGGAGCAGUGAUGGGUGGGACAGAAGAUCACUGGGACUUUCCUUCUACUGAUUUCUUCCCAGCUGAUAGAAAAGGAACUUUGGGCAGCAAGAAUAAGACCCAUGGAGAAUCCCCCUCUGGGAAAGCUGCCUGGAUUUGUUCACUAGCUUUAUUUUUCCCAGCAAAGGUAGGAACCCACCUGCCAGGGUCUGGCUUCUGUGGCCUCCCACGGACUUUCAUGCAGACUUUGGGAAAAUAAUGAGCCCUGAGGUCAGCAGGGUGACUCUGAGAAGGGCGUUAGGCAGGCCAGGAAGAUGUUUCCUAGGGAACAGGUUUUGAGCCUGUAAUCCCAGCACUGUGGGAGGCUGAGAUAGCAGGACCUCAAGUUUGAGCCCAGCCCAGGCAAUUUAGCAAGACUCUGUCUCAAGAUAAAAAGGACUGAGGACGAAGCUCUGUGUGGCUCCGGGUUCAAUCUUGAUAUUAGAAAAAAUAAAAAGGUCUGACAGUGAAGACGGGCUGCUGGGGAGGGAGUGAAUCAUCCCAAGCAGCAGGCACUGGGUGCUCCCUGGUUAGAAAAUCCAGAGGCCGAGUCCCUGCACCAUCACACCAUCAUUGUGACCACCACCACCAUUGUCGUCACCCCCUUGAUUAGACAACCUUUGGAUCAGACAUUCGAAGAUAUGACCUCUUGCGUGGUGACCGCAGGCAGCACAGCAGAAACGGCAGCUUUCCCCUUGGGGCCUCUCCCUGCCUAGGGUCUGCCGGCUCUGGGCAGCCCUGGCCUCGCUGUGGUCCGAGCGCGCGCCCUCUGCUGGUCGUUUGCUGAUUCUGCAGAGCCACGUUCCCUCCGCCCAAGGGAGGCCCUCAGAGUGCUUGCCAUAGAGGGAGCGCCCAGAGCACCAGACCUUCGUUUGGUUUUUGGCUUUUGUUCUGUUUUGUUUAGUUUCUGAGAUGAGACAGUGUCUCGCUACUUAGUCACUUUGAACUUGCGAUCUUCCCGCCUCAGCCUCCCGAGUGCCGGGAUCACAGGCGUGCACCACCACACCUGGCAUCGGAUCGUCGCUCGGAAUCUCACUUCCCCCAUCUGCCCGUGAAAACAGACGGGAGGUCCCCCAGCAGGUCAGGGGCUAAGGCGAAGAGCGAGCGGACAUUUGUCCCGCUCCCGUCUCUGUUAGGGAUGUGGUCUCCACUUUCUAUCACCACCCUCACUGAUGGCCCCCGAAAUACAUGACCCUACCACUCUUGAGAGAUCUGAGUGGCCGUGGGGUUCACUGACGCUCUUGUCACCGAAGGCAAAGCUCGGGUCCUUGGCUUGGCUUUGUGACACCGAGCAAGAUUCCCGAGCCCUGAGCAAUGCCAAGCGGGAGCCUCCCUUUGCAGAACCGAGAGGCGCGCGCACCCGGGGGUCUGCCUCCCCCGAUUAGAAGCCUCUCCUCCCGCCCUGCCCCUCCCUCCUCUCCUCCCGCCCUCGCAGCCAUUACCAUCUUCCUUCCAAGGAAGACUCCGGAGCAGCAGAGGUGUUGCUGCUGGCUCAGCGUCGUUCAGCCAGGAGUCUCUGGAUUCAGAAUCUGGACUUCGGAGAGCAACCUCUGCCCUGCUCUCUCUCCUGCUCUUCUCUCCGCACUCUUAUUCGUUUCACCCAUUGGCUCCUCCUACAAAAUAGUGUCCCGCGCUGUCCAACAAUUUGUCUCCAUGUGUCUGUUGCAACCGCUGGGGACAAGACCCCGGCAUUUCCGGCCCUUCAACGGCAGCAGCCUCCUGGCUGCUUCAUGGGUCACUGGGCCCCACUCCUGUUUUCUGCAGCCUGGGCCGCACGUUGACGCACACAAAAUGACACUUUCGAAAUGUGAAUUGCGGCAGGAGUGGUAGCACAAGCUCCUUGUAAUCCUAGCAGUGGGGAGGCUGAGGCAGGAGGAUCUGCCUGAGCUCAAGGCCAGCUGGGCUACAUAGUGAGUUCAAGGCUAGCUAAAAAUACAUAGCAGGAUCCUGUGUCAAAAAAUCCCCCAAAGAGAAUGACAAUGUGCAAUGUAUGUACCAUUGUUGCCCCUUGACUCUCAAGUGUUGAAAUUUUUAGAAAAAUGUUUGUCUUUUAUUCUCCUUGAAAUAAAAUGGAUUGGAGGGAACCCCAAAAUAAAAAUUAAAAAAUAUGUAGCUCUA